UCGCACGAGAAAGUGGAGCAUCCAUGAGUAGAGUGGCGUACGGGUGAGUAACACGUGGAUCAUCUGCCCUGGAGUGGGGAAUAACGCUGGGAAACCGGCGCUAAUACCGCAUAUACCCGAGAGGGGAAAGCAGCAAUGCGCUCGAGGAGGAGUCCGCGGCCGAUUAGCUAGUUGGCAGGGUAAAAGCCUACCAAGGCUGUGAUCGGUAGCCGGCCUGAGAGGGCACACGGCCACACUGGCACUGAAACACGGGCCAGACUCCUACGGGAGGCAGCAGUGGGGAAUCUUGCACAAUGGGGGAAACCCUGAUGCAGCGACGCCGCGUGAGCGAUGAAGCCCUUCGGGGUGUAAAGCUCUUUCGGCAGGGACGAUUAUGACGGUACCUGCAGAAGCAGCUGCGGCUAACUACGUGCCAGCAGCCGCGGUAAUACGUAGGCAGCAAGCGUUGUUCGGAGUUACUGGGCGUAAAGGGUGUGUAGGCGGCUCUCUAAGUUUGGUGUGAAAUCUCCCGGCUCAACCGGGAGGGUGCGCCGAAAACUGGAGGGCUGGAGUGCGGGGUGGGAGAGUAGAAUUCCUGGUGUAGCGGUGAAAUGCGUAGAUAUCAGGAGGAAUACCGGUGGUGUAGACGGCUCUCUGGACCGCAACUGACACUGAGACACGAAAGCGUGGGUAGCAAACAGGAUUAGAUACCCUGGUAGUCCACGCCCUAAACGAUGCAUAUUUG
rnacentral:rRNA from 1 species